rnacentral:rRNA from 1 species
AACGAACGCUGGCGGCGUGGAUAAGACAUGCGAGUCGAGCGGGAACUUUCGCUGUAGCAAUACAGUGAAAGUUCUAGCGGCGAACGGGUGCGUAACACGUGGACAAUCUGCCUUAAAGUGGGGGAUAGCUCGGCGAAAGACCGAAUUAAUACCGCAUGUGAUGAGAGACGACAUCGUCUUGAAAUCAAAGCCGGGGCGAACCUGGCGCUUUUUGUAGGAGUCCGCGGCCAUCAGCUUGUUGGUGAGGUAACGGCUCACCAAGGCUAUGACGGGUAGCUGGUCUGAGAGGACGACCAGCCACACUGGAACUGAGACACGGUCCAGACACCUACGGGU